ACUCGCGGUCCGCAGGAUGACUCAGGGCAGCCCUGACCACAGUUCCGCCGCCAUCGGCCCUAGCCUGCGGAGUUGGGCUCGCCCCAGGACGAUAACAGAGCUCUACCGGGGGCUGGAGGCACUGACCGGGUGACCAGAGACCCUCCACGGCGCCCGGGAUUUCAGGGACGGCUCCUCCCAUCGCAAGUUUCAACAGAAAGUGAGAAAUAUCCCCCCGACGAUUGGCUGAAAACAUGCAGCAACCACUAUUUUCUUCCUGCCCCUCGUUGAUGAGAGCAUUCGAAGUGACCUCAGCAGGGCAUCCAGUUUUGCUCUUGUGGCCCAGGCUGGAGUGCAGUGGUGUGACCUCGGCUCACUGCAACCUCCGCCUCCCGGGUUCAAGUGAUGGGAUUACAGGUGCCUGCCACAACGCCCGGCUAAUUGUUUGUAUUUUUAGUAGAGACGAGGUUUCACCAUGUUGGCCAGGCUGGUCUCGAAUUCCUGACCUCAGGUGAUCCACCUGCCUUGGCCUCCCAAAGCGCUGGGAUUACAGGUAUGAGCUACCACACCCGGCACAAAGCAUUUUCAGCUGUGAAAUUCCCUGGGGUGCUGCAGUAGAGGAAGGUUUGGGGUCUUGACGGGUGCUGUUUGCCACGGAAAGAUGCCUUCCUGCUCCCAGGGCAGGAGAGCUGAGGUAAGACUUUACUGUAGGCUGUCGUUUUUUUUGUUUGUUUUUUGUUUUUGAGAUGGAGUCUCACUCUGUCGCCAGGCUGGAGUGCAGUGGCAUGAUCUUGGCUCACUGCAGAACCUCCACCUCCCAGGUUCAAGCGAUUCUCCUGCCUCAGCCUCCCAAGUAACUGGGAUUACAGGCACAUGCCCCCACAACCAGCUAAUUUUUUAUUUUUAGUAGAGACAGGGUUUCACAUGUUGGCCAGGCUGGUCUUGAACUCCUGACCUCAGGUGAUCCGCCCGCCUCGGCCUCCCAAAGUCCUGGGAUUACAGGCGUGAGCCACUGCACCCGGCCAGGCUGUUGUUCUUUCACCUCCUCGUUUGCACGAUUUGGGCCACUCACAAGAGUGUUAUACCCCGCGAUAAACAGUUACCUACAUUCUCCUCUGCACGCUUGUCUUUAGAGGAAGGAGAUGUAUUCAUUGCCCAAAGUGAUAUAUUGUGUUAAGAUGUGAUAUAUACUGGGGGAAAAAAAGUAUAUAUUGACAUUUCUGGAAUAAACCACUUUGAUAC
rnacentral:lncRNA from 1 species